rnacentral:lncRNA from 1 species
CUAUUAUUUUCCAUGCCUAUCCUCUUUAUUUUUGGCCAACAAUUGGCGUGAGAAGAGAGGAGGCAUGGGGCUAUAUUUUCUGUAAAAAUGGGGCCUCAAAUCUUCCUAAAAAGAUUUAGAUGAAUUUCCUAAUUUGUAGGGAUUGCAUGGCGCAUAAAAUAGGGUGGUCUGCGGCUAAACUUUGGACGCAUGAAUUCCUAUCUUUUAGGGAUCCAAAAUGUACAAAAUUUGGAUAUGUUUAUCUCCUCU